rnacentral:snRNA from 1 species
CUACUUUGGCAGCAAAUACACUGAAAUGGGAAUGAUACAGAGAAGAUGAACAUGGGCCCUGAGCAAGGAUGACACACAA